CAACCACGGAGCACCAUCAAAACCUUUGCUCCCUGCCAGCAGCGUGCACCGCACGUGUGAGGAAUCCUCUGGUCCUUUGGUAACAUUUGGGUGGCAAGUUUGAGACAGAACAGGCUCUAAGCACCACCUUCGGGAAAAAUGGAAUGAAAUUUCUGAUGCUAUCCUUAUGUAUGAGGAGCGACGGCCAUGCUGCUGGGGGGUGGAAGAGAUGGAACACGUCCGUAUACUCCAGCUUAUCUUGAGAAACCAGACUCUUCCAAGACUCCUGGAUAUUUUUAAAAGGCUCUGAGUACAAAAGCAUCUUCCAUGUCUUGCCGUUCUCCUACUCAGCGUUGUAUUUGCUCUAUUUGAUUUGUGGUACCAUUGAUACUUCUGGACUAAAAGCUCAGAGACUCACAAAAUCUGACCCAACUUUCUCACAAACCGAUCACCUGAGACAGCAAUGAGCACCAUUAUCAAAUCAGUCAGUCGCAAAAUUUUGCAGGUGGACUCCAACACUGAUAUGGGACUAUUUACUCCCAGUGGUGCUCUACUUAACUGGCUCAUUUCAAGAUCGGUGCCUAAAUCUGCAAAUAUUACUGCUAAACCUGAGGAACUCUCAUGUCUGAACAAAUGGGAUCGGUAUUGAAGUGUCUAUGUGGAUUGCACCGUACACUGGCGGCGGAAAAGGGAGGGUGUUCAAAUGGAAAAUUCUGGC